CCCUGGACAGAAGUACCACGAAACCAGGUGUGUUGUCAUGUGAUUUUCCAGGCGGUAGCAGAACAAUGGGUCCUCUGCGCUGCAGACCCCCCAUCUGUGUAAUCUCAUUACAAG